GACGAACGCUGGCGGCGUGCUUAACACAUGCAAGUCGAACGGAAAGGCCCUGCUUUUGUGGGGUGCUCGAGUGGCGAACGGGUGAGUAACACGUGAGUAACCUGCCCUUGACUUUGGGAUAACUUCAGGAAACUGGGGCUAAUACCGGAUAGGAGCUCCUGCUGCAUGGUGGGGGUUGAAAAGUUUCGGCGGUUGGGGAUGGACUCGCGGCUUAUCAGCUUGUUGGUGGGGUAGUGGCUUACCAAGGCUUUGACGGGUAGCCGGCCUGAGAGGGUGACCGGCCACAUGGGGACUGAGAGACGGCCCAGACUCCUACGGGAGGCAGCAGUGGGGAAUAUUGCACAAUGGGCGGAAGCCUGAUGCAGCAACGCCGCGUGCGGGAUGACGGCCUUCGGGUUGUAAACCGCUUUCGCCUGUGACGAAGCGUGAGUGACGGUAAUGGGUAAAGAAGCACCGGCUAACUACGU
rnacentral:rRNA from 1 species